rnacentral:lncRNA from 1 species
GUACCACUUGACAAUCUGUGUGGUACCAAGAAGCUGGAACUAUUGUGCUUGAGCAACUCCACACCACCAUUCAGAAGAAAAGAAUAAUGGUUUCCUAUUAGCUUCAGAUGAUUUACCUUCUUAUUACCUCGUAUGUUACCUUUUAUAGCAAAUAAUUCUUAUAUCAUUGUAAUUUAUUUCUUAUGUGUAUCUUUAUUCAUUUUUCUUUCUAUUUUAGAUUGAUACUCUACUUCUAAAAACAAACGACAGGCCAGAAAUGCUGUUUAUUAAUUCACCUGUACUUAAAAGAUUCCAAGAAAUAAUAGAACAUUUAUACAUGGAUUUUAUACGUAAAGAAUACAUGAUUUUCUGCAAUAGCCAUAGAAAAAUUGACUCAAACUAGAAGUUUAUUGGACAAUUAAUUCCAUAGGUUCGAUAGCUUUGGACUCUUCUAUGUUUGCUAAGGGAACUGUAAUCAAAAGCUGAAACCGUUCGGCGAAAUUAGCUCGCUUGUUUAUCUCUUGCUUCAAGAAAAUUACUUUAUAUCGCAGUCUCUAAUGGUUUUUCUUCACACAUGGAAACUUAGCAGAGACCACUUUUCUAACCAGAUUUUUUUGGUAAAUUUCUGUAUUAACACCUGCACGAUUUUAACUAAGGAAAAAAAAAACUCGGACUUUUUGCUUGGACUAGAGUACCCUGACCCCCUAAUAUGCUGCAAAUCUCCUUAUUUUGGUUCGGAACGAGUAGACUCAAGAUCAAAAGGUCAGGGGGCAUCACUAACACCUCGCUAAAGCGAGCCGCCAAUGAUAACGGGAACUUCACUGUUAGCGGCUCAGCCUACUCAAAUGCUGGAAGAAAUGAUUCACUGACAGCUCCCAGUACUUACGAAGUUUGUUUGUUCGGCUACGGAAGCAGUGACCCUCCAAGUACUUGUGAAACCUAAAGUUUCAUUUGUCAAAUUCCCUUGGGUAUCAACAAAAGUUUGUUUUGUUUUCGUAAUAUCAAAUUGUAAGCCCGUUGUUGGUUACGUUAAAUGUCUCGAUUUUUUUUUUUGUUAUGCUGCAACACAGAAUGGUGCGAGCCUCCCUAACCCACCGAUGGUAUGUUCGGUUUAUCGUCGUUUCUGAAAAUUGUUAAUUUAAGAAAAAGUACCAGCACUACCUUCCUGCAAAAAUGAAGGAAAAUAAUUCCCUUCUUGAAAUAAUUUGCUUCACUUUUUUUCCUGUAUAAUGUUGGACAAGUUCAAAAAUUUCGAGCACUCUUCAUUUUAUGGUAAAGUAUGGCAAUGUCUUUUUUCAAUCCUUACUAUCUACUGAACUUGGCUCAUUGCUCUGCGAAACAGUGCUUUAGAGUAAUAAUAAUCGAUGUUCAAAUAUAGUUUCAGUCUGUAUCUGGUUAAUGUUGGAUUGUAAGCUGCUUUCUUUUGGUAAAAAUGAAAGACUUACCUUUUGUUCCUGCGUGUCUGGUUGGACACUGAAAUAACUAACAAUUCAUCAUAGGUGAAUAUAUGUGCUGACCAUCUUAACGCACUUUAAAAUUUUUCUGGAGAUAAUUCGACCCUAAAGUGGGGAAUUGCACCAACUUCAUUUUCCUGUCGUUGUUGUAAAAUUGAAUGAGGUCAAAUGUUAUAAGCUAUAUUCUUCAGGCUUCUAAAGUUAGUCUUAUGUAUUGACCAAUGCGAAGUAGCACAGGAACGUGCGCCAAAAACCCACCUUUCCUGUGGCAUUCUACUUCUGUUGUAUUUUCGUGAGAUAUUCAAUUUUUUUAUUUGUUACUAGCAGUAUCGCCCGGCGUUGCUCGGGUUUGUAAGGGAAAUAACUAUAUAAGCAUUUUUAGAGAGUUACUUCCCUUAUAUAAUAGCAAAAAAUGCAUUAAAAAUGGGAAAAAAUGAUGGUCAAAUUUUUUUUUUUAAAUCGUAGACUCACGUUAAUACCCAGAAGGGCUCGAUAAGAAUCACGACUAUAAGAUACCCGCUUUUGGUUAAACUGCACCGCAAAAUGUGGGAG